rnacentral:rRNA from 1 species
GAUGAACGCUGGCGGCGUGCCUAAUACAUGCAAGUCGAGCGAAUGGAUUAAGAGCUUGCUCUUAUGAAGUUAGCGGCGGACGGGUGAGUAACACGUGGGUAACCUGCCCAUAAGACUGGGAUAACUCCGGGAAACCGGGGCUAAUACCGGAUAACAUUUUGAACCGCGUGGUUCGAAAUUGAAAGGCGGCUUCGGCUGUCACUUAUGGAUGGACCCGCGUCGCAUUAGCUAGUUGGUGAGGUAACGGCUCACCAAGGCAACGAUGCGUAGCCGACCUGAGAUGGUGAGCGGCCACACUGGGACUGAGACACGGCCCAGACGCCUACGGGAGGCAGCAGUAGGGAAUCUUCCGCAAUGGACGAAAGUCUGACGGAGCAACGCCGCGUGAGUGAUGAAGGCUUUCGGGUCGUAAAACUCUGUUGUUAGGGAAGAACAAGUGCUAGUUGAAUAAGCUGGCACCUUGACGGUACCUAACCAGAAAGCCACGGCUAACUACGUGCCAGCCGCCGCCGUAA